rnacentral:lncRNA from 1 species
AUAACCUUCAUUCUUUGUCCUAGUCUUUAAGCGAGGUGUGGAAUCAAGGAAGUGAAUCAUGCAAGAGACUCACACACAUAGUUGCUACAAAUCUCUUGGAGAAAAGCACUAUUUUGUAGUUCCAUGCCGAUAACAGAAGGAAGUAUAGAUAUUGAAGGCAAGCCAACCCCUGAUAUCUUAGACCACAACAGAAAGUAACCACAGAUUCCAGAGCUUUGAUUACUCAUGUCUCUAGGCAGCCAAGCCCUGUAGUCUGACAUAUUUCCCUUCUGUCAAGAAAGAAGUAGGUGAUUCCAGCCUUCUCUGUAAAAGCCUCUUCAUUCCUUUCUCUGCUCUCCUUUUCAGUUCACUUCUGGCCCAUUCCUUGGACUGCGUAAGUUUUCUCCAGUGCAAGAUCUUUUCCUCCAAGAAGGAUCAUUCUCUGCUGAAGUGGCCUUCCACUAUGGAUGACUGUACAUGAAACAAAACUGUCUGACUGAUUGUCACAUCAUAUUCCUCCUGCAAAAUUAAUUCCAGAGCUCAGAUAAUUUCUUCCAGAAUCUUAGGAGAAGAGCAUUAGAUUUCAAGACUUCAUUAAACAAGUUUUCUGAAAACAAGAGUAAAAUUUGCAUUUUAAAAUAUGUGAAGAGUCUCAAACACAAAACUGACAGCUAGCACUAAAAUAAUGAGUCACAGUGAAGAUUUGAAAAUUUAAGAAAUGAAUUGAUCCAUCUUCAUGAGAAUGUAGUCAAGAGAAGAUUUAGGAAUUGUGAAUUUUUCCUGGAGUCAAACUGACUGUUGGAAAGAAUGAGACAGAAGCUUGAUUUUUUGGUACUAAUGUUGCUGUUAACAAGAAGGAUCUUCAAUAUUCACCUGUAUUUUUCUCUCCGUGAAGACUGAAUGCUUGAUCCAGAUCAUGCUGGUAUUAGCUGAGAUAUUUUUCAGUUGAGUUCUGGGUUAGAUCACUAAGUUAGCAUAAAACUUUAUAAUGGAUCCAGACAAAAACUUAACUGAGCUAAACAUCUUUCAUUCAAUUACAGACUAUUUUUUAUAAAUGCUAUUUAUGUAAUUUAUCAUACAUGUACAUAUAGAAAUAUAUAUAAAGGAAACUCUUUAAUCCAUUCUUUGUAAGCUCUUCUGAGCUGCCUUCUGGCUCUCUAAGAAACUUACUAAAUUAGGAGGAGUAAAGCAAGACAAAGGCUGUAAAUCAUUGGUAAAUCAAUUUGUUAGUUUUAGAGUAUUACUGUGUCAAACAUUAAGCUGGUUUAAGUCUGGCACAUUAGUUUAUUCCUCUGAAUGGUAAAAGUGGUUAGCAAGUUAACCUAGACAUUAUUAGAUUUUUUUUUUUC